AUUGAACGCUGGCGGCAGGCCUAACACAUGCAAGUCGAGCGGAGCGGCGGACGGGUGAGGAAUACCUAGGAAUCUGCAUGGGAGUGGGGGAUAACGUUCGGAAACGGAAGCUAAAACCGCAUACUAUCAGAUGAGGCUAGGUCGGAUUAGGUAGUUGGUGAGGUAAUGGAUCACCAAGGCUACGGUCCGUAACUGGUCUGAGAGGAUGAGCAGUCACCCUGGAACUGAGACACGGUCCAGACUCCUACGUGAGGCAGCAGUGGGGAAUAUUGGACAAUGGGCGAAAGCCUGAUCCAGCCAUGCCGCGUGUGUGAAGAAGGUCUUCGGAUUGUAAAGCACUUUAAGUUGGGAGGCGUUACCGACAGAAUAAGCACCGGCUAACUCUGUGCCAGCAGCCGCGGUAAUAC
rnacentral:rRNA from 1 species